UGUUAACCAGCGGAACUCAUUGCUGCAAGACAAACAGGAAUGUGAACCCGGGGCCUCCCAGACCCGAACCCAACACACUCUGCUCUGCCACUGUGCCAGUUGACUCCCCCUCCCCCAGAGCUUUCCAGCGGCUUCAGGGUGCCGCUUGACCACACAGCAUUUUCCCGCAAGCCAAGAGAAGCAUCCCUCGGGCGGGGGAGAAUCCUGGACCUUUUCCCAGUCCCAGGGACUCCCUCGUACCCUGGAGGAUGCAGGUCGGUGUGCCAGGACACCACCAAGGGCAAGAGACACACAGGAAAGAAAGCUGGCCUUCCCAUCCAGCCAGAGAGCAGAAGUAACUCGUUACAACGAACGCCAUCCGUGGCACAGAACAAGGGAAGAAACCGUUACAGAGUUACUUGCCAGCCUCGGAUGCGGCCCAAAGGAGAAGCGACAACGGGGCAAUAACGCGUUUCGCCACAAACCGCUCGCGCAGCGGGAGCGACGGAAGGGAAGCGAGCCACCCCGUAGCGAGUAACGAGAAACGCGCCGCGUUCCUUUUAAAACGCCGCCACCGUUCCAAGCGCUGAGGCCCCGCCCUCAGGCAGCCGCAGGGACGGAGGCGGCGGCCGUCCUCCGGCUGGGGAGGGGGGGCGAUCCACCCUCCCCAGGGGCUGCCGGGCGGCGUCCCCUCCGCGGGCCUUCUGCCUUGGAAUUGGAGGGGGGGGGGGGGGGGGACCCGGGGAGCG
rnacentral:lncRNA from 1 species